GGGAAUGUGGCUUAGUGGUAGAGUGAUUGCCUAGCAUGCAUGAAGCCCUGGGUUCGAUUCCUCAGUACCA
rnacentral:tRNA from 1 species